rnacentral:misc_RNA from 1 species
AUUUAAAAAGUUCUAUUAGGUUUACUAUUUUCCUAGUUAGUAAUGGUUUAGUGUUUUCCUAUUUUGGGAUUCCUAUUCCUAAUCCUAACAGCAGUAGGAUUAAUAUUAUACUAUCAAUACAUAUGUGAUCUAGGUAUUUUAUGAGAGAGCUUAUUAUUACUGACAUUGAUUUUGAGAAUUAAUAGAAAUUUUAAGUUGUUUCUCACCCCCUUUUAGUGUUCUUCGUGGUUCUACAUCAAAUAUGUUCCUAACUUCUUGUGCCAAUUGCCAUUGUAUUAUGCCUUAAGAGAAUAUUAGAAAUGUCCUGCCCUUGAUUGGAAUCAAGGAAAUCACUUUGAAAUUCAAUCAUGAGCAGUAGUUGCCACAUGAGAAACACUAGGGUAUUCCUACUUUUUCCCCUGAUCUGUAAGAGGGAAAAAAAUGUGCAAAAGUUAUCUUUUUAUUGUGUUCUCUCCUCCUUGCAAAAGUUCUGUUUACAAUUGAUCGAGUUCUCUUGUUCUUGGUUGGCCUUUUCAAUUUUACAUUAAUCAGAACAUAUGGCAAGUCUCUGUGUGUAGUGCCCAAAAUGACGUUUUUGGAGGGUGAGCCAUGGUAUGCUGGCAAAGUUUCUCCAUGAGUCAAAUUCAAGAGUUUAAACUAUGGUAACAACCUCUCUGCAAUGCAAAGAGGAGAAGGCUAUGUGUACUGUAACAUCCUUUUUGCUAUGGUGCUUCUGCAUCCUUGCAAUAAUCUUGAUAGUAGGUGAUGUUAAUAACUCAUUUUUGUAAUAAGCUUGAAAAUCUAGGUUUCCGGAAACCAUUUUUCAUCAAGUCCUUGAUGUGCAUUUAUUGUACCUGAAAAACCCGGUUUGCAAAAAAAGUGUAAAUUGCAAGCACUUGAAAGAUUGUUCUGAAUCUUUUUAUUUUCAACUUUUAUUUAUAUCAUAUUUCAUCUUAUACUAAUAGUUUACAUUAGGUUCUGUUUGGCACCGUUGCUGCAGCUACUAUGGAAAAAAAACACACUAAAAGAUUUUGGUUGAAGAAAUUAAAAGUUAAUCUCAAGGUGUUUUUGGCAUGUUUUGGCCUUAUUCUAAAACAGCCCAAAAGCAAAUUUAAACUGCUUUCUGGAAAAGAACAUCUAAGUGCUUUUCUAAAAACCAGUUUCAAAAGCUAUCGCUGAAGGCCCUUGUUAGCCUGGCAACAGUCAAUAUUGAGGUGUGGUACAUGUCGAUAUGUUAAGACAUUGAAUUUUGAGUAAAAUCCCUACUGAGUAUGAUAUCAGUUUUAAAGGUUUGAUUAUGAAAGACUUCCCCUUCUCUCUUCAUGCAGAGGUAGCAAUUGCUUCCUUGCCCGAGGAGGUUUUAUAUAACCUUUGUAUCAUCUAGAUUGAUAGAUAGAAUAUAUUGGUAUCAAAUCAUUUUGCUAUGGAUUUUACUCAAUACGCUCCUCUUGCUCCCUGGUGCAGGAUAUGAAGCGACAAUGCGAUG